rnacentral:rRNA from 1 species
UACGAAGGGGGCUAGCGUUGCUCGGAAUCACUGGGCGUAAAGCGCACGUAGGCGGCUUUUUAAGUCAGGGGUGAAAUCCCGGGGCUCAACCUCGGAACUGCCUUUGAUACAGCAAGUCUUGAGUUCGAGAGAGGUGGGUGGAAUUCCUAGUGUAGAGGUGAAAUUCGUAGAUAUUAGGAAGAACACCGGUGGCGAAGGCGGCCCACUGGCUCGACACUGACGCUGAGGUGCGAAAGCGUGGGGAGCAAACAGG